CACGUAGGGGGCGAGCGUUGUCCGGAUUUAUUGGGCGUAAAGGGCUCGUAGGCGGCCAACUAAGUCAGACGUGAAAUCCCCAGGCUCAACCUGGGAACUGCGUCUGAUACUGGAUGGCUUGAAUCCGGGAGAGGGAUGCAGAAUUCCAGGCGUAGCGGUGAAAUGCGCAGAUAUCAGGAAGAACACCCGUGGCGAAGGCGGCUCUCUGGGACGGUACUGACGCUGAGACGCGAAAGCGUGGGGAGCGAACAGG
rnacentral:rRNA from 1 species